GAUGAACGCUAGCUACAGGCUUAACACAUGCAAGUCGAGGGGCAGCGGGAUUGAAGCUUGCUUCAAUUGCCGGCGACCGGCGCACGGGUGAGUAACGCGUAUCCAACCUUCCGUACACUCAGGGAUAGCCUUUCGAAAGAAAGAUUAAUACCUGAUGGUAUGAUGAGAUUGCAUGAUAUCAUCAUUAAAGAUUUAUCGGUGUACGAUGGGGAUGCGUUCCAUUAGGUAGUAGGCGGGGUAACGGCCCACCUAGCCAACGAUGGAUAGGGGUUCUGAGAGGAAGGUCCCACACAUUGGAACUGAGACACGGUCCAAACUCCUACGGGAGGCAGCAGUGAGGAAUAUUGGUCAAUGGACGAGAGUCUGAACCAGCCAAGUAGCGUGAAGGAUGAAGGUCCUACGGAUUGUAAACUUCUUUUAUAAGGGAAUAAACCCUCCCACGUGUGGGAGCUUGUAUGUACCUUAUGAAUAAGCAUCGGCUAACUCCGUG
rnacentral:rRNA from 1 species